rnacentral:rRNA from 1 species
UCCCAUGCUGAAUAUACCGGUUCUCGUUAGAUCACCGAAGUUAAGCAUCAUUGGGCGCGGUCAGUACUUGGGUGACCACCUGGGAACACUGCGCCGUUG